GUUUAUGUGAAAAGAGGACAUGAUAUAAUAAAAGAGAUAAUGAAUGAGAGUUUCAUUUCAAAAGCCUUGAGUGGAUGAUUGAAGCAGGAAGGCACAGAAAGAGGACUUCUGCCAGAUCGGCUGCUGUCAUUUUCUGCCUUGGAAAAUAACUAAGUGGCACUUGGAAUUAAACUCUCCUAGGGAGAGUGGUAUGAC